ACUUACUUCGCCAGCCACCAAAGGUAAAAUGAUGAGUUCUGAAGUCACUUUGCCUCAUCCAUGCAUUGAUUUAGUAAUGGCUAAGAUCAUACUCGCUUUUAGAUCACAAUCCAAGCAUCACAAGAAAGUUAGAAAACUCUAUGUUGAUUAUUUCUUUUAAUCUAGUAACAAAGCCUUGAUGACUUGAGAGUUUUGCGAGUAAUGCAUAUAUUUUAUUAAAAAAAAUAUAUGCGUGAAAAAAA
rnacentral:misc_RNA from 1 species